GGCACAAGCUUGAAGUAGAGUAGCUUAGAAUGGUCGGCCGAUCCUAAUAGUCUACUUUACUUCAAAUUUGGGCUC
rnacentral:pre_miRNA from 1 species